ACGGUAUAUUGCGACAGUUGUGUGAAUAGGCUCCGCGGUUUUCUUAUUAAAUAUGUUCUGUCAGUGUCUCAUCUACUGACUACGUGGUGGUUAGUACAUUUGUAGAAAUCGAACCAAGGUGAAUUACAGGAGAAGGUGAUUUACUCAAUCCAACCAGGAGACUGGGUGUGGAUCCAGUCCCUGAGGAGAAAAGACUGGAAGCAGCCCCUUUGGGAAGGCCUAUACCAGGUUCUGUUAAACCACCGCCUUUGCCAUUAGAAUAGCUGAGGAAGUCACUUGGGUCCACGUUACCCACUGCAAAAGGGUAUGUACACAUACAAGCACUGCUGCUCACACACAGAGUUAGGAGAGGAACCGAGUACCAACAGGGUCCAGGGGUUACCUCCUUAACAAAGAUUCCCUAUCCCGACCGUUCAUCACUGUGUGUGCUCCUAGAGGUGGGAGUAUGGGGUGGUACCUAGUAGACCGACUAAGGGCAGGAGGGGGUUGGCGGUUUUUGGGAAGAGUAGGGACUCUGAGCUGCAUUAUCGUCUUGGUAAUCUUUCUGAUACAUCCAGAUCCACCACCUUCCGGUACUAAUUAUAUGAUGCCGCUGUCAUUGAUAAGAAGUAAAAGAUAAACUAUAUAAUACACUGAUGAGUGACUUACAGAAUAAGGAGUCAAAGAAGAUCAAGAUGUAAGAUUUAAGGUAAACAAUUCCCUAGGAAAUAACUUCACAGGGAUUGGGUUGGCCAGAUUGAAGUACUUGGCCAACCCACCUCGGUUCACUUUAACUCCUGAUGAGUACCAGUGUUAUAGAUACAAGAAUGGCACCGAGAACUUAGAUGAUUUUAAUGGCUGAAAGGUAAUCGUUGAUGUGACUGACUUAGGUUUGGAAGUACAGGAGACUAUUCUUAACCUCACAGCAGCUAUACCUGAUGUAGGGUGGGCUCGUACCAGCAAAGGACGCAUACGACAGAAACUACCAAAAAGGGUGGUUAGGAACUUGCGCCCCGGGGUUAUUGGUCCAACCAGUUCGGCUUAGUCAUCAGAGGCCAGUAUUAGGAGGCUAUAAAGUAGGCACAGGAGGAGUUUUGACCAGGAUGGGAGUAGCUUUGUCUAGAUGGAUGCUAUUGGCAUCCCCAGGGAAGUUCCAGAUGAACACAAACCUAUGAAUCAAAUAGGUGAAGGCUUUACCACUACAUUAUUUUGGUGGUUGACAAUAAAUAAAAAUGUGGAUUGGAUUAGUGACUAUAAUAGUGAUCUAUUAUAAUCAACAGAGAUUUGUGAAUGAUUCUGGGGAUGUAGUAAAGGGGUUCUCUGACCAAUUAUCCGCCACCUCCCUCAUGACCUGGUAAAAUAGACUGACUCGAUAUGUUAUUGGCAGAAAAGGGCGGGGUAUGUAGAAUGAUUGGGGUUCAUUGCUGUACGUUUAUAUACUUUUUAAUAAAACAGCUCCAGACGGAUCAGUGACCAAGGCCCUGGCAGGUUUGACCACAUUAGCUCAUGAGUUAGCAGAGAACUCUGGGGUGGAUACUUCCCUGACAGGGUGGUUCGAUAGCAUGUUUGGGAAAUGGAAAAAUAUUGUAAGUACUGUAUUUUGGGCUGCUUUCACAUGUAUGAGUGUGUUGGUGUUGUGUGGAUGCUGUUUGGUCCCAUGUGUGAGAGGUUUGAUCACCAGAACUCUAGAGAGAUCGAUGACCAACAGAUGGUGAGAUAUGGACCGAUUCCGAGCUCCAACCAGUGGGAUGACGAAUACAGGCCUCCAGGCCUAGGAGAUGGCUCCGUUUCUUUUAACCAUAAGGAGCCAUUGUUAGAUGAGACUAUCUUCAAUGUUUCGACAGACUGUUCCUUUAAUGAAGAUUGUAAUAAAAAUCACAAAAAGAAGGGUUAUAAUUGGAUAUAGGCCUAGAGCAGUCGAUGAUAAGUAUCUGAUGUAAAUACAUGAAUUGGUUUUGUUUGAUUUUAUGUAACAUUUUUGAUUCCAUAUGACGGUGGAUGUAUCAGUGUGUAUUAUUUAGUCAUUAAGGGUGGAUUGAUAAGGGAAUUAUAUGCUUAAUGGUAAUGUUUAAAAUAUUUCACCCUGAAACCAUAUAAUUGUAUGAAAUUUAUUAGAAUCAUAAAACUAUAAUCUGACGAUGUGUGUAGUUUUAGUCAGAAUUAGAACAAGGACCUUUUGAUCCUUUUUAAUAUGUAAGCAGGGUGCAAGUGGGAAACAAAUGACUAUCGACAGACAAGUUGUACUACUGUGUUCCUUAAAGGACAUUCUGUCUCUACCCGUGGAGGGGAGAAACUGUUAGGCUAGCAGAAACAUUAUGAAACAUGUUGCAGAUUAAAGAAACAAUGUAUCUGUGUAGUGGAAAAACACUGACUGUCUGAGCAAGGCGUAGUUUAAGAUUUGAACUUGUUUGUGUGUGUUAUAAAGACUGCAUUUUGGAUUUUAGAACGUUCUUGUGAAUGAACUGUGCUAACCUUUUGCAUAAGCUGAGUCUUUGCCUAAUUAUUAUUAAACCCAUGGUCUUACAAACCUUGGGAUUGGUCAAAGCUAUUGAUUGUUAGUUAUUAUCAUUGUGAUUGAAAAUUCUCAUGACAAUUACUAACUCCUUUCCAGAGGUUUAAGUCUGCUCUGCACAUGUCUGAAAGUGACAGAGACAGCAGCCAAGAGAGUAUUUCACAGUAUGUCAUAAAAAAGUAUUACACUUAUGAAUGUA
ensembl:lncRNA